ACCUGGGGAGUACGACCGCAAGGUUGAAACUCAAAGGAAUUGACGGGGGCCCGCACAAGCAGUGGAGUAUGUGGUUUAAUUCGACGCAACGCGAAGAACCUUACCAAGUCUUGACAUCCCUUGACGAUGCUGGAAACAGUAUUUCUCUUCGGAGCAAGGAGACAGGUGGUGCAUGGUUGUCGUCAGCUCGUGUCGUGAGAUGUUGGGUUAAGUCCCGCAACGAGCGCAACCCUUAUGGUCAGUUACUACGCAAGAGGACUCUGGCCA
rnacentral:rRNA from 1 species